CUAGAUAACAAAGGACCCAAAAUCUAGUGGUUGCAAAACCACUAGAAUAAUCCACCAUAAUCACACCCAAUAACUAACCCAGAAAAAGAAGAAGAAUCAAAACAAUACACAACUUAAAACAAACCCUAGAACUCAAAUAAUCGACCAAAAUCACACCACUAACCCUAAAAUCAAAAUGAGAAAGAAUGGAAAUCACUCUUCAGGGUCUUUGCCCUUUCCAGCAACAACCUCUUUAAUUUCAACCCAUUUCUUGACUACAUGUUUGGUACACUCUAAAGCCCCGUGUCAUAGUGAUGGCACAGAAAACAAACCACCUACAACUAAUAUUCAACAACAAAAUCAUGAUCCAAAGCCCAAAUGGAAAAUGGAAGAAAACCUUCAAGAUUUACCUUGCAAGCGAUGCGAGCGAAUCUAACUUCGUAACGAUAAUAGGUUGAAUAAUCGAUACAAAUCGAAGAACCCAAUAGAUCACCGACCUUGUAACAAAUUCAGUGUUUACCAACCCCAAAGAAAGAGAGUGAACCUUCACCCUUACAACAACACGCAUAACAUUAUAUUUCCAUGGAUCAAACCAGCCUUUCAAGGUUCGGUUGCUAUGUACCGAUUACCAACAACCCAUGAGCCUUUAUCCAAGUCAUCAUUGAACAUCACACAGUAGAAGUUGUUGCCAAGUGCAGUUACUUUCACACCCUUUUUUUUUGCCCAUAUGUUGGUAAUAUUCUCAGCGACUUCACCAAUUUCGUAGUUGCACUCCCAUUAUUUUUGCAAUCAGAGUAUUCUUUGGGAAAAAAUGACACAUCGUAUUUUAUUAAUGUUUUGCGUAUCAUUUUAAUCUGUGCCUAGUUGACGCAGGCGUUUCAAAAGAAACUUGAAAGUUGUAUUGCGGGAUGGUGACAGAAGGACUAAGUUUAGAUACAUGGAGUUAUAAUUGAUUGAGUAUGUAAAUCUAUAUUGUAGUUAAGGCUUGAACCAUAGUGUUUCAAAUGAAGUUUAAAGGUCUACAUCAUACUAUUGCUACAUACACUAAUG
rnacentral:lncRNA from 1 species